rnacentral:rRNA from 1 species
GACGAACGCUGGCGGCGUGCUUAACACAUGCAAGUCGAACGGAAAGGCCCUGCUUUUGUGGGGUGCUCGAGUGGCGAACGGGUGAGUAACACGUGAGUAACCUGCCCUUGACUUUGGGAUAACUUCAGGAAACUGGGGCUAAUACCGGAUAGGAGCUCCUGCUGCAUGGUGGGGGUUGGAAAGUUUCGGCGGUUGUGGAUGGACUCGCGGCUUAUCAGCUUGUUGGUGGGGUAGUGGCUCACCAAGGCUUUGACGGGUAGCCGGCCUGAGUGGGUGGCCGGCCACAUUGGGACUGAGAUACGGCCCAGACUCCUACGGGAGGCAGCAGUGGGGAAUAUUGCGCAAUGGGCGGAAGCCUGAUGCAGCAACGCCGCGUGCGGGAUGACGGCCUUCGGGUUGUAAACCGCUUUCGCCUGUGACGAAGCGUGAGUGACGGUAAUGGGUAAAGAAGCACCGGCUAACUACGUG